rnacentral:tRNA from 1 species
GCCGAGGUGGUGAAAUUGGUAGACACGCUAGGUUCAGGGUCUAGUGGCGCAAGCCGUGCCGGUUCGAGUCCGGCUCUCGGCA